rnacentral:lncRNA from 10 species
CCGAGUCUUGGCCUUAACUGGCUGGCAACGUAAAACCUGCCCUCCACAAGGACAAGAUGAAAACUUGGGGAUUUGGAGGGGACAACAAAUUAGACUCAAUCACAAUUUCAAACUUUUGGAUGUCAAUAUAUCCAUCAAGAAAUUGAAAAGAGGCCUGGCAUGGUGGCCGAUGCCUGUCAUCCCAGCACUUUGGGAGACCAACGUCGGAGGAUCACUUGAGGUCAGGAGUUCCAGACCAGCCUGGGCAACGUGGUCCCAGGAGUUGCAGAAACGCCACCAGGACCUUCAGAGCACCAGUUAGACAAGGAGAGCCAGGAGGAGCUGGGCCCCAACCUCAUCCAAAAGCACAGACUCCCAGGCUGGAAUGGUGUCCUCAUAUCGAGGAAGAGGAUACUGAGGCCCAGAAAUGUGCCCUAGCUUUACUAGGAGCGCCCCCACCUAAAGAUCCUCCCCCUAAAUACACCCCCAGACCCCGCCCAGCUGUGGUCAUUGGAGUGUUUACUCUG